rnacentral:rRNA from 1 species
CCUACGGGUGGCUGCAGUGGGGGAUAUUGCACAAUGGGGGGAACCCUGAUGCAGCGACGCCGCGUGGGUGAAGGAGGGUUUCGGCGCGUAAAGCCCUAGCGGCAGGGAAGAAGAUGACGGUACCUGGCCAAGAAGCCCCGGCUAACUACGUGCCAGCAGCCGCGGGAAUACGGAGGGGGCAAGCGUUAGCCGGAUUUACUGGGGGUAAAGGGGGCGCAGACGGGACUGCAAGCCCGGAGUGAAAGCCCGGGGCCCAACCCCGGGACUGCUCUUGGAACUGCCUGGCUGGAGUACAGGAGGGGCAGGCGGAAUUCCUCGUGUAGCGGUUAACUGCGUAGAUAUUAGGCG